rnacentral:rRNA from 1 species
UUACGGGAGGCAGCAGUGGGGAAUUUUGCGCAAUGGGCGAAAGCCUGACGCAGCAACGCCGCGUGCGGGAUGAAGGCCUUCGGGUUGUAAACCGCUUUCAGCAGGGACGAAACUGACUGUACCUGCAGAAGAAGCUCCGGCUAACUACGUGCCAGCAGCCGCGGUAAUACGUAGGGAGCAAGCGUUAUCCGGAUUCAUUGGGCGUAAAGAGCGCGUAGGCGGCUUGUUAAGUCAGAUGUGAAAACCGGGGGCUCAACCCGCGGCCUGCAUCUGAAACUGGCAGGCUUGAGUCUGGUAGAGGAAAGUGGAAUUCCCAGUGUAGCGGUGAAAUGCGCAGAUAUUGGGAGGAACACCAGUGGCGAAGGCGGCUUUCUGGGCCACGACUGACGCUGAGGCGCGAAAGCUAGGGGAGCAAACAGGAUUAGAUACCCCGGUAGG